rnacentral:misc_RNA from 1 species
GAAAUGUGAUAAGUAAUGUGAAUUGCAGAAUUCAGUGAAUCAUCGAAUCUUUGAACGCACCUUGCGCUCCUUGGUAUUCCUUGGAGCAUGCCUGUUUGAGUAUCAUGAAAUCUUCAAAGUAAAUCUUUUGUUAACUCAAUUGGUUUCUACUUUGGAAUUGGAGGUCUUUGCAGCUUCACACCUGCUCCUCUUUGUUCAUUAGCUGGAUCUCAGUGUUAUGCUUGGUUCCACUCGGCGUGAUAAGUUAUCUAUCGCUGAGGACACUGUAAAAGGUGGCCAAGGUAAAUGCAGAUGAACCGCUUCUAAUAGUCCAUUGACUUGGACAAUACUUUUAUGAUCUGAUCUCAAAUCAGGUAGGACUACCCGCUGAACUUAAGC